UACGUAGGGUGCAAGCGUUGUCCGGAAUUAUUGGGCGUAAAGAGCUCGUAGGCGGCUUGUCGCGUCGAAUGUGAAAACUCGAGGCUCAACCUCGAGAUGUCGGUGGAAACUGCUUGGCUAGAGUCCGGAAGAGGAGUGUGGAAUUCCUGGUGUAGCGGUGAAAUUCGUAGAUAUUAGGAAGAACACCGGUGGCGAAGGCGGCCUGCUGGGCAGUAGCUGACGCUGAUGCGCGACAGCGUGGGGAGCAACAGG
rnacentral:rRNA from 1 species